GAUGAACGCUGGCGGCGUGCCUAAUACAUGCAAGUCGAGCGAACAGACGAGGAGCUUGCUCCUCUGACGUUAGCGGCGGACGGGUGAGUAACACGUGGAUAACCUACCUAUAAGACUGGGAUAACUUCGGGAAACCGGAGCUAAUACCGGAUAAUAUAUUGAACCGCAUGGUUCAUUAGUGAAAGACGGUUUUGCUGUCACUAAUAGAUGGAUCCGCGCCGCAUUAGCUAGUUGGUAAGGUAACGGCUUACCAAGGCGACGAUGCGUAGCCGACCUGAGAGGGUGAUCGGCCACACUGGAACUGAGACACGGUCCAGACUCCUACGGGAGGCAGCAGUAGGGAAUCUUCCGCAAUGGGCGAAAGCUUGACGGAGCAACGCCGCGUGAGUGAUGAAGGUCUUCGGAUCGUAAAACUCUGUUAUUAGGGAAGAACAAAUGUGUAAGUAACUAUGCACGUCUUGACGGUACCUAAUCAGAAAGCCACGGCUAACUACGUG
rnacentral:rRNA from 1 species